ACCCUCCUAAAAAGCACUCGUUGGGCCUGUCCCCCGUGGCUCAGUGAGUUGUCGUGGAAGGGCAGAGCGAAGGCAGCGCUUUUGGGUGAAGCGGCGGCUCGUGCUGUUGGCUUCAAUCGGCGCUGUGACAUCC
ensembl:snoRNA small nucleolar RNA, H/ACA box 21B